AACAUCGAACUGGUAAAUUAGAGAUAUUUCGAUUACGAAAUUCGUGAAAAAAGAAUUAAAAUUCGAUUUAUUAACCCGAUGAAUAAAAUAUCUAUUAGAUAUUUUAAGUGGAUUUCUUAUUUUAAUUCUUAGUUUGAGAAUAACGAUUUUUACGUUAUUUUCUCUUAAUAUCUCAGAGCCGAGAACGAGUUCUUAAUUUGUAGCAGUAAAUUUUGUUAAAUCAAAAGGAUUAAUUAUUUUUUUGUUUUUAAACUAAGUUUUUUGUUACGUAGGUACUCUACGAAAUAAAAAAAGGUCUGAGUGGAUACGUCAACAGUUCCAAGAUGACUUGAAGAGACGUUAAAGAAAACGUCCCUACUCGGGUCGCAGGAUAGUUAGUUUGAUUUUUCAAUAAUCUAGAUAACUGUUCUUCGAUCCAAGGUAAGUAAAUUCUUGUUUAAGAUCUAGUGUAUUUUCAGAGGAAAUCGAAGCAAUAGUCCUCCAGCUAGUCACCUCCAUUCGCCUGAGCUUGGCGACUGUAGGACGAACGUUUCGACCGCGAGAUGGUUGACUCGAUAUGGGGGUUGUGGCUUACCCGGUAGGACCUGAACUUGGUCCCUGGAGUGGGAAUAGUCCCCACGCGAGAUUGGUGGACUCGAUUACCGGGUCCUCAUGGGAAAACUCUCCACACUGGAUCUGUUUCAAAUCCUUGACUUAAACUGAAUUAAAGUUCUUUGAUUAAUCAAUUCAAGAAAACUU
rnacentral:rRNA from 1 species